rnacentral:rRNA from 1 species
UACGGAGGGGGCAAGCGUUGUUCGGAUUUACUGGGCGUAAAGGGCGCGUAGGCGGUCAGGUAAGUUACUUGUGAAAUCUCUGAGCUUAACUCAGAACGGGCAAGUAAUACUGCCAGACUCGAGUGCAGAAGGGGCAACUGGAAUUCUUGGUGUAGCGGUGAAAUGCGUAGAUAUCAAGAGGAACACCUGAGGCGAAGGCGGGUUGCUGGGCUGACACUGACGCUGAGGCGCGAAAGCUCGGGGAGCAAACAGG